rnacentral:rRNA from 1 species
GACGAACGCUGGCGGCGCGCCUAACACAUGCAAGUCGAACGAGCGAGAGAGAGCUUGCUUUCUCAAGCGAGUGGCGAACGGGUGAGUAACGCGUGAGGAACCUGCCUCAAAGAGGGGGACAACAGUUGGAAACGACUGCUAAUACCGCAUAAGCCCACAGGUCGGCAUCGACCAGAGGGAAAAGGAGCAAUCCGCUUUGAGAUGGCCUCGCGUCCGAUUAGCUAGUUGGUGAGGUAACGGCCCACCAAGGCAACGAUCGGUAGCCGGACUGAGAGGUUGAACGGCCACAUUGGGACUGAGACACGGCCCAGACUCCUACGGGAAGCAGCAGUGGGGAAUAUUGCACAAUGGGGGAAACCCUGAUGCAGCGACGCCGCGUGGAGGAAGAAGGUCUUCGGAUUGUAAACUCCUGUUGUUGAGGAAGAUAAUGACGGUACUCAACAAGGAAGUGACGGCUAACUACGUG